ACUAUUAACAUGAGUUAAGUCUAAUAAUAACAUGAGCUAACUGACAUGCAAAAGUAGACUUUCUGAAAGUUAUUAUUUAUGGAAAUCAACUAUAAAAGGAAGAAUAAGUUUCCAUUUUGGGGGAUAGUUAUGCUCUAAAAAUGAAAGUUACUAUUUAUGGAAAUCAACUAUAAAAGGAAUGGUAAGUUUCCAUUUUAAGGGGGAUAGUUAUGCUCUAAAAACGAAAGUUACUAUUUAUAGAAAUCAACUAUAAAAGGAAGGGUAAGUUUCCAUUUUGGGGGGAUAGUUAUGCUCUAAAAAUAAAAGUUACUAUUUAUGGAAAUCAACUAUAAAAGGAAGGGUAAGUUUCUAUUUUGGGGGAAUAGUUAUGCUUUAAAAACAAAAGUUACUAUUUAUGGAAAUCUACUAUAAAAGGAAUGGUAAGUUUCCAUUUCGGGGGAUUCCUUUUCUGAAAAUUCAACACUAAUUGCCACAUGUUACGACCUCAUUCGUCCUAAGUCACUAAUCUGUCAAUAUCAUUAAAGUUUUACUUUUUUUCCACCAUUUCAAAACUUUAAAAAUGCAUAGAAAAUAGCUCCAGUGUCGGAAAAAUUCACCGAAAAAUGUCACGGACAACAGGUGAGACCCACUUCACAACUACGUCUAAAUUUUAGUAAUUUGAAUCACAACGUACCUACUAAUGUGGUAUAACUUGUUUGGUAGGUUAUAUGCUAGUGUACAACUUUGUGAACCAACUAUAUGGAGGAUGCAAAAUUUUCAAAAAUCUUGUGAAAUAGGAUGUGAUCGGUAUAGUAAAAUAUGGCUACGGUAGAAAAAUCACUUUAAUUUACCAAAGUUCUGGCCCCGAUCGAAGCGGUCAACCCUAUUUACGUUUAUGCUUCACUAAGGAGAGCCCUAUCCUCGGGUGGUAAACGUCCCCAAAGUUUUACAUGGGUGGUUAUAUCUCAUCUAUGUGAGACUUUAUUGUGUUGAAGAAUCCACCAAACUAGGUCACAAAGAGGUAGGUAAGAUAGUUUUCGUGUGAUAAGUGAAUAUGAAUUAAGGUUGACCGCUUUGAUCGAGCCCUGAACAUUAUUGAAUCCAGUUGAAUUUUAUACCAUAGCCAUGUUUCACUAUAAUGAUCACAUCAUACGGUCAAUUUUCAUUUUGUGAAUUUUAGUCAUCGAAAUCAUAACAUGCCUACUAAAGUAUUAUAACUUGUUUGAUAGGUUAUAUGCUAGUGUACAACUUUGUGAACCAACUAUAUAGAGGAAGCAAAAUUUUUAAAAAUCUCGUGAAAUAUGAUGUGAUCGAUAUAGUAAAAUACGGCUACGGUAAGAAAAUCACUUUAAUUCGCCAAUGUUUGGGCCCCGAUCGAAGCUGUCAACUCUAUUUACACUUAUGCUUCAAUAAGGAGAGCCCUAUCCUCGGCUGGUAAACAUCCCCAAAGUUUUACAUGGGUGGUUAUGUCUCAUCUAUGUGACACUUUAUUGUGUUGAAGAAUCCACCAAACUAGGUCACGAAGAGGUAGGUAAGAUAGUUUUCGUGUGAUAAGUGAAGAUGAAUUAAGGUUGAUCGCUUUGAUCGAGCGCCGAACAUUGUUGAAUCCAGUUGAAUUUUAUACCAUAGCCAUGUUUCACUAUAAUGAUCACAUCAGACGGUCAAUUUUCAUUUUGUGAAUAUUCAUUGAUUGAAUCUCAAGAACAAUUUAGAUUUCCAGAAAGUCUAUUUUUCUUUAAUUUCUAUUAUGUUAAUGGUAGCCAUUUCUUAUGAAAAAAGUGGUUGUGUCUUAUGUUAAAUGUAGACUUUUCAUCUUUUACCUUGGUUUUUCUUCAAUCUCAAGAACAAUUUAGAUUUCCAGAAAGUCUACUUUUCUUUUAUUUCUCUUAUGUUAAUGGUAGACAUUUCUUAUGAAAAUAGUAGAGGUGUCUUAUGUUAAAUGUAGACCUUACAUCUUUUACCUUGGGUUGCUUCAAUCUCAAGAACAAUUUAGAUUUACAGAAAGUCUACUUUUCUUUGAUUUCUCUUAUGUUAAUGGUAGACAUUUCUUAUGAAAAAAGUAGUUGUGUCUUAUGUUAAAUGUAAACUUUUCAUCUUUUACCUUGGUUUUCUUCAAUCUCAAGAACAAUUUACAUUUCCAGAAAGUCUAUUUUUCUUUGAUUUCUCUUAUGUUAAUGGUAGACAUUUCUUAUGAAAAUAGUAGAGAUGUCUUAUGUUAAAUGUAGACUUUGUAUCUUUUUCCUUGGGUUGCUUCAAUCUCAAGAACAAUUUAGAUUUCCAGAAAGUCUACUUUUCUUUGAUUUCUCUUAUGUUAAUGGUAGCCAUUUCUUAUGAAAAAUAUAGUUGUGUCUUAUGUUAAAUGUAGACUUUGCCACUUUUACCUUGGGUUACUUCAAUCUCAAGAACAAUUUAGAUUUUCAGAAAGUCUACUUUUCUUUGAUUUCUCUUGUGUUAAUGGUAGACAUUUCUUAUGAAAAAAGUAGUUGUGUCUUAUGUUAAAUGUAAACUGUGCGUCUUUUACCUUGGUUUGCUUCAAUCUUAAGAACAAUUUAGAUUUCUAGAAAGUCUACUUUUCUUUGAUUUCUCUUAUGUUAAUGGUAGCCAUUUCUUAUGAAAAUAGUAGAGGUGUCUUAUGUUAAAUGUAGACCUUACAUCUUUUACCUUGGGUUGCUUCAAUCUCAAGAACAAUUUAGAUUUUCAGAAAGUCUACUUUUCUUUGAUUUCUCUUAUGUUAAUGGUAGCCAUUUCUUAUGAAUAAAGUAGUUGUGUCUUAUGUUAAAUGUAGAUUUUGCAUCUUUUACUUUGGUUGGUUCAAUCUCAAUCACAAUUUUGAUUUCUAGAAAGUUUACUUUUCUUUGAUUUCGCUUAUGUUAAUGGUAGAGAUUUGUAAUAAAAACAGUAGAUGUAUCUUAUGUUAAAUGUAGAGUUGCAAAUUUUACUUGAUUCAAUCUCAUGAACAAUUUUGAUUUGUAGAAAGUCUACUUUUCUAAUGAAAACAGUAGAUGUGUCUUAUGUUAAAUGUGUCUUUCGACUUGCAACAUUUUCUGUGAUAUUUUUCAUGACAGUAGUAGAUAUUUCUUAUGAUAGUUGUAGACAGUCUCAAGAAUCAUUUUGAUUUCUAAAAAGUCUACUUUUGUGUGAUUUUACUUAUCUGAGUGGUAGAUAUUUCUAAUUAAAACUGUACAUAUAGAGAGACUUAACGGAGAGUUAACGGUGUUAGUUUGCUUUAACCUGUUAUAACAAGUCAAAAUUGGUUGGGUAUCCAUACCUUA
rnacentral:lncRNA from 1 species